CUCCCUCUCCUUGUUUUAGAUAGAUAGAUUACCCCCACUAUUUACUCCUCAUCCUCAUCAAUUAGAGGGUUUCAAUUUGAAAAACCCUAAGCUGAUGUGCUGCAAAAAAAAAAAACUAUUUUGAAAAUUUGAGAAACCCCUAAUUUGAAAAUAUGAGAAACCCUAAAUUGGAGUGCUUGUGGUGCUUUGAUAAUCUGAUUUGUUAACCUCAGAAUAGUUAUUUAAUGUGUUGGUAAUCUUUGUAAAUUGAUACCAUUUUGUGCGUCUAUAUGAAUGGUUUGCAAAAACUUGUACAUUUAGCUAAUCAACCACCAAACCACAGUUAGUGGCUUGUGGUAUUGGUUCUCUUUAGGAUUUUGGUUGUUCUGAGGAAGAAUUUUUGUUGUUUGUGGCAUGUUUUUGAACUAGAUCUUCAAGGAGAAAUAAUCUGAAUUGGGUUUCAUUAUUGAUUCCCCAAACAAUCAAGUUCAAGACCUUAAGGGAAGAAUUAGGGUUUAUUGUCGAGUUAGGCCCUUCUUGGGUGGACAAUUAAAUUAUUUAAGCUCGGUGGCUCAUAUAAGGAGGGAACAAUUACUAUAACUACACCAUUGAAGCAUGGAAAAGGUUGUAGGUCAUUCAACUUCAACAAAGUUUUUGGGCCUUAUGCAAUCCAAGACUGGAGCUAAAGAUCUUACGGAGCAAAGUCAAGGCAUAAAUUACAGAGCAUUGAGCGAUUUGUUUCUUCUGGCAGAGCAAUGAAAGAACACCUUCCAAUAUGAUGUUUAUGUGCAGAUGAUUGAGAUAUAUAAUGAAUAAGUUAGAGAUCUCCUGGAUAAGUAGAAGAAAUGGGAGGCAACAAAUGGAGAGAUGGAGAAUGAGAAAUGCCCGGCUUGGAGGAAUUGAUGUCCAGCAAGGAAUCCUUUGUAUCAAACAAUGAAGCACUGGUGUCAAAGGUUCAAGAAAUGUUCAUCACAACAUUGAACUAAUCGUAAAGAAUAAAGAGCUGAUCAAGCUACUAACCCACUCUCAAACUAAAAGAAUGGUGG